GACGGAGGGUGCUAGCGUUGUUCGGAAUCACUGGGCGUAAAGGGCGCGUAGGCGGCUUGAUAAGUCGGGGGUGAAAGCCUGUGGCUCAACCACAGAAUUGCCUUCGAUACUGUCGAGCUUGAGACCGGAAGAGGUAAGUGGAACUGCGAGUGUAGAGGUGAAAUUCGUAGAUAUUCGCAAGAACACCAGUGGCGAAGGCGGCUUACUGGUCCGGUUCUGACGCUGAGGCGCGAAAGCGUGGGGAGCAAACAGG
rnacentral:rRNA from 1 species